AACAAAAGCUGCUGGCAGAAGAGGAGAGAGGCAAUUUAAACAAUCAAAUACUGGUUUAAAGUUUGUUUUCCUGAAAAUCAGGUAUUCUAGUCUUCAGUUGCCUGAUUUGCCUGAAGGGGACUGAAAACAUUAAAUCAACACCUAAAGAACUAUCAAACAAAGGCUGGCUUGGAGGAGAAAACAACAGACUGGAAAUACCAUGGUCCAGUGAGGUCUUGGCUGAAUUGUUGCUGUUCUCCUCCUCAAGCAGAGGAAUUGUGGAGGAUGCUCGCUACUUGUUCUCACAUACUACGGCAAAGAUUCUUGCGCUAGCUGACAGAUAGCCUGAAGGCACAAGGUUGCAAAGGGGCAGUGGAAUGGCUAUAGGUCCUCUGCUGAGAGACACGUCCCUCCUGUUCAGGCACAGAGCUACCGCUGCCAUGCCCUCUGUACCUCUACAGAGCCCCUGCACAGACAGACAGGAGAAUGGUCAGAUGAGAGACCCCUCACCUCCUUUCACAGGUGAAUUGAAUAGAUUGUGCUUCCAAGGGUGAUGGGGGGCAAAACAAGACCAUCUCUCUCACCUCCCAACAGCAAGUGUGCUGACAGGAGUUGAGGAAGGAUUGUAAAACAGCCAAACAAAGGAGGAAUGUUGCAAUGGCAUUUUGAAAUAAACCUGUUUGUGACAAGC